GAUAGUCUAGAGUGAGGGAGAGGCAGAUGGAAUUGGUGGUGUAGGGGUAAAAUCCGUAGAUAUCACCAAGAAUACCCAUUGCGAAGGCGAUCUGCUGGAACUCAACUGACGCUAAGGCGCGAAAGCGUGGGGAGCAAACAGGAUUAGAUACCCUGGUAGUCCACGCCCUAAACGAUGUACACUAGUUGUUGGGGUGCUAGUCAUCUCAGUAAUGCAGCUAACGCAUUAAGUGUACCGCCUGGGGAGUACGGUCGCAAGAUUAAAACUCAAAGGAAUAGACGGGGACCCGCACAAGCGGUGGAGCAUGUGGUUUAAUUCGAGGAUACGCGAAGAACCUUACCUGGGCUUGAUAUCCUAAGAACCUUAUAGAGAUAUGAGGGUGCUAGCUUGCUAGAACUUAGAGACAGGUGCUGCACGGCUGUCGUCAGCUCGUGUCGUGAGAUGUUGGGUUAAGUCCCGCAACGAGCGCAACCCACGUAUUUAGUUGCUAACGGUUCGGCCGAGCACUCUAAAUAGACUGCCUUCGUAAGGAGGAGGAAGGUGUGGACGACGUCAAGUCAUCAUGGCCCUUAUGCCCAGGGCGACACACGUGCUACAAUGGCAUAUACAAUGAGACGCAAUACCGCGAGGUGGAGCAAAUCUAUAAAAUAUGUCCCAGUUCGGAUUGUUCUCUGCAACUCGAGAGCAUGAAGCCGGAAUCGCUAGUAAUCGUAGAUCAGCCAUGCUACGGUGAAUACGUUCCCGGGUCUUGUACUCACCGCCCGUCACACCAUGGGAGUUGAUUUCACUCGAAGCCGGAAUACUAAU
rnacentral:rRNA from 1 species